rnacentral:lncRNA from 1 species
UUCUCAAGGUCACACAGCAAGCAGUGAAACCAGGAUUCAAAUGCAGCCUUCAGGGUAGACCGAGGAGAGCACCUCCCCUUCCUGGUGAAGGGAGCCCGAUACACGCUGGUGCCGGCUGGCCAAGAAGGAGGUGGACAAACCUGGCGACCGCUCCCUGGCACCACCUCACCAGAGGACAGCUCACACCUCCACAGGGGUCAGAAGAAAGGAGCUGCCCUGGGGAUGGCUGUGUAUCCCUACAACUGCCAGGCACAUGCCCCUUGAACACCCGAUGCUACGUGUCCCAAAGGAAACUGGUCUCCACCCACCCCCGGCCCGUCCUCGUCCUGGGUACCCCACCUUAGUAAAUGGCGCCACCAUCUGCCCGGUCACUCAGCGAGAAACUCAACUCCUGGCAGCAGAUGACGGGCACUCUGGUUAAAUGACUCUCUCCAGCCUCCAAGUUCAACCUGCAGGGAAGCCCUGGAAAUCCUGUCUCCCUCUGCCCUGCCUCUCCUUCAGCUCCGAACCCCACCCCACUCAGUACAUGGCCCCCCAACAGGCUUUCAAAUGUCUGCCUUCCCCAAACCAAUCUGUGGUUUUAAAAGAAGUAAG